rnacentral:sRNA from 1 species
UUCAUUCCCGGUUAAGGUUUUUUGGGUUUCGUGCCAAUCACCGCCUACAUCGCUGCCUAGGAAUUGACGGGGUUUUAUUAUGGAUUUCAUUUACUUUUGCCCUUUUGACAUAUUCCUUGGAUCAUGGAAGGUGAGUGAUUAGCUGUUUAUUCAGUGGACUCUUUUUCGUUGAUUUUCACUAUCUUAUUUUUUUAAAAUUGUUAUUUACUGUAGAAAUCUGAAACUUUCUUGCCUGUUCAUCUAAAUGCAAAGAAUGAAAUACUGCACACCCUUGCAUUUGUUUCUGCCGUUUCUUUCCAGGUGCUUGUCGGAUUUUAUAACUAUCAAAUGUUGAAGGAUAUUAUUGCUGAGAAAAGGAGCUAUCUCUCUCUCUCUCUCUCCGUUAUACAUGCUGAUAAUAGCCUUCAAUUUGCUGGCUAAUAAUAUCUGCUUUCAGCUUUUUACUUGAUGAGGAUGAGAUGCAUGCAUUUUGAUUCCUGGGCAGUACGAUGGACGACCGGUGAGGCUGAUUCCCUGGUCAAAGAUGCAGUCAUAAGGCCAACUGAUAUUUUAUGGGUCAUUGACGAAGCAGCACAUUAAUUCCGCUGGGCUGCCUAACCAGGAUGAGUAGUUUGCACAGACUCUCCCUCUCCUUGCUGCCCUUUUAUUUUUUACCUUGAUAUGGAGUUUUCUUAUGUACAGAAUAUUUUGUAUAGCGUUUCUUGUUAGAAGGUUAGUCCCCUCUCUCUGUGGACUGCCUUACCUCUCCUGCAGAAGAAUUUUGCAGUACUGCAGGUCUUUUGUAAAGACCACGAGAUCAUAAAAUUUUCAAAUUUUGGUAGAGAAUUGGAAAGUUUUCUAUUCUCAUC